rnacentral:rRNA from 1 species
AGUGAACGCUGGCGGCGUGCCUAAUACAUGCAAGUCGAACGGCGUGGCGCACGGUUGAGUACUAUUUAGUUACACUGCCCUUUGCUGUCGGUCAACGGUUAGAAAUGUCUGCUAAUACUCCAUAGAAAGGGAUGUGACUAUAUCGUAUCAGCUAGUCGGUGGGGUAACGGCCUACCGAGGCUAUGACGCGUAACUGGUCUGAUGGGAUGAUCCGUAGCAUUGGAAGGGAGGCAGCGGUCAAGAACCUACGGGAAGGGGCGGUAGGGAAUAGUACGCAAUGGGGGAUACCGUAACAGGGCAACGGCGCGUAAAGGAUGAUAGUUUUCGGAGAGUAAGCUCCUUUUGUUAGGGAAGCGGUACCUAACGAAUAAGCACCGGCUAACUACGUGCCAGCAGCCGCGGUAAUAC